rnacentral:rRNA from 1 species
UGAGGAAUUUUGCGCAAUGGGAGCAAUCCUGACGCAGCAACGCCGCGUGGGUGAUGAAGGCCUUCGGGUCGUAAAGCCCUGUCAGGUGGGAAGAAUGUCCCGGGACUGAACAGGUUCCGGGAGUGACGGUACCACCAGAGGAAGCACCGGCUAACUCCGUGCCAGCAGCCGCGGUAAUACGGAGGGUGCAAGCGUUAUUCGGAAUUACUGGGCGUAAAGCGCGUGUAGGCGGUCAGGCAAGUCGGAUGUGAAAGCCCCGGGCUUAACCCGGGAAGUGCAUUGGAAACUGUGGGACUUGAGUACUGGAGAGGGUGGGGGAAUUCCCGGUGUAGAGGUGAAAUUCGUAGAGAUCGGGAGGAAUAUCAGUGGCGAAGGCGCCCAUCUGGACGGUAACUGACGCUGAGACGCGAAAGCGUGGGGAGCAAACA